AUGCACGCAGAGUGUCCCUCACUAGACAGGGACCACAGCAGAGUAUCACUAGGAGGUCGAACUACAAAGCAUCGCCCCCUUCCCCCUCACCCUGGAGCCAUCUGUGUGUCUUUACUACCCCAGGCACAGUGCUGCUGGGGACUUCUGUCCCCGUCCACAGGGCUCGCUUUGGGGCUGGCACUCGGCAUGCCAUGGAGCCACCGCCUGUCAGACCGGGAACCGGCCCCGUGGCUCAGCAACAGCAUGUCCAUCCCCAGCUCGGAGCAGAACAGAACCAAAGUUAAGAGAGCGACAAGUGGACUCUACCAUCUCUGUCUCCAUCCGGGGCACCUGAAGAAGCUGGGCUGCUUGACAUGUGGCUUCCCCUGUCUGGAAUGCGCGGGCCACGUCCACAUGAACAUGCUGGGAAGUAGCCGGUCAGGAGGCCGUCAGGCCCACUGCCUCUUCUGUGCCGUCAGCCACCACUGCUUCUCAAUGCCUGGGGGUAUGUUAGUUCUUCAGAAGUUACAAAGUGGUAACAUUCUAAUUAGAUCAUCUCUUCCUCUUAAAUUGGAAUAUAUCCAUUAAAGGCAUGAAAAAAAAAAAGAAAACCCAACUUUCCUUCAUCAGUGGUAUAAUAUGUAGUAAAGACAGGAUGCUCAUAUCAUUCCUUUUAGUUAUCAAUUUUCAAAAUAAUGA
rnacentral:lncRNA from 1 species